GACGUAGGGCGCGAGCGUGUCCGGAUUUAUUGGGCGUAAAGAGCUCGUAGGCGGUUUGUCGCGUCUGCUGUGAAAACGCGAGGCUCAACCUCGCGCCUGCAGUGGGUACGGGCAGACUAGAGUGCGGUAGGGGAGAUUGGAAUUCCUGGUGUAGCGGUGGAAUGCGCAGAUAUCAGGAGGAACACCGAUGGCGAAGGCAGAUCUCUGGGCCGUAACUGACGCUGAGGAGCGAAAGCGUGGGGGAGCAAACAGG
rnacentral:rRNA from 1 species